AACGAACGCUGGCGGCAGGCUUAACACAUGCAAGUCGAACGCCCCGCAAGGGGAGUGGCAGACGGGUGAGUAACGCGUGGGAAUCUACCUAGUUCUACGGAACAACUGAGGGAAACUUCAGCUAAUACCGUAUACGCCCUACGGGGGAAAGAUUUAUCGGAAUUAGAUGAGCCCGCGUAAGAUUAGCUAGUUGGUGGGGUAAUAGCCUACCAAGGCGACGAUCUUUAGCUGGUCUGAGAGGAUGAUCAGCCACACUGGGACUGAGACACGGCCCAGACUCCUACGGGAGGCAGCAGUGGGGAAUAUUGGACAAUGGGCGCAAGCCUGAUCCAGCCAUGCCGCGUGAGUGAUGAAGGCCUUAGGGUUGUAAAGCUCUUUCAGUGGGGAAGAUAAUGACGGUACCCACAGAAGAAGCCCCGGCUAACUUCGUGCCAGCCGCCGCCGUAAUAC
rnacentral:rRNA from 1 species